rnacentral:lncRNA from 1 species
UUCAAAUGGUUCUGGGCAGAUGCGUGAAAGUGUUCUUAUGUUCCCUCUUUUAGGACUUUAGAAAACUUGGGCUUGACUGGAAAACCAAGGGCCAAGCGCACAUAAAAUGAAGGCAGCCACUGCUGAUGUGACGUUCUCCUGCACUGUCUGAGGACAUGUCUCGAGGCACCAGCAACUCCAACAGCCCUUCCAACUGGGUCACAGGUGACAAAGUGAAAGGCUCCGCCUCUGUGCAGAUUAUCCCACACAGAGCUGUUGGAAUUACUCCACGAUGAUUUCAAAGAAAAUUUUCCUUUCUAAACAUUCUUAUCCCAGGGAAACCGCUCACCAAGGAAAUCCAAACGCAGAAAAGAAGCAGACUGGGCCCAAGGCUCCCAGAGGAAUAACAAAACGAGGAGCGAGCAUGACUGCAGCAAUGGUCCUUUCAAGCAGCAGCUAACUUGGUGGAACACCCUGUCCCUUGGGUGCGAGCAGACCGCCCCUUGGCUCAAAGUCAUCCUGCUGUCCCGGCUGCUGGUUCUCCAGGCCAACAAAGACCAGCAUGACAAAACACAUCGAGAAAGUGUCACAGAAUGCUCUUCUGCAGGAGCCUUGCUUCUAGAAGUGGAGUGGAUCUGCAGUCCAUAUAAAAGCUUGGGCAAAGUUUUACAAGGUGCAACCAUGUACUAGUAUGGUGACUUCUGUCCAUUAGAUGGGGCCUGGAGCUUGUUAGGUACCUAUGACCUAUUUUUCCCAUAAUUCCCCAAAGGAAAGCUUCAGUUUCCCCAUACCAAGUAAAGAUUACUAGGGAGUAAUAAACACUGGACUUUGUAAGGAAUCACCUUGAUUUGAAUUUUUGCUUACAACCUGAGAAAAUCACUCUCCACCCCAGAGUCCCUCGUGGAUCAACUGGUAUAAUAACAUUUCCUUUUCAGAUUGUGGCAGUUGGAUGAAAUAUUGAAACGUGCUAGCAUUGAGAAAAAUAUCAAAAUGUUCAGAUGGAUGUGAAGCUUGGUGUGCAGAGCCACUCAAAACCCGCUGUGAGAAUUUUUGUGGAAGAGGGCAGCACCAGAGUGUAAGACAGAAGCACUAAAGGGAAGGUGUUACUAUCAUUGCUUAUUGCUAUUAUCAUCAAGGCAUUAAGACGUUUUUAUCUAUGGCAGGAAAAAGCGGUUGACUCUUUUCUCAAAAUUCAAACCUGGAUCCACCACAUGCAGAGAUUCUUCCACUGCCUUUUGGCAGGGAGGUAGCUCAUAUCUGUCCCACACUUUGCAGACAGGGUGGAGGACAGUGAAGUUGGAGGCAGCGGAAGACAGCAACCAAAGGGUCCUCUGGCUGCAGACAUUACAGAUAAGUGAGGACCUUGGGUACUUAAUGUUCAUACCUAGUGAGAUUCCAAAAGGGUUGAGAAAAAGCUACAUGUUCAUGCUAGACUGUGGCUCAGUCCCCGCAAAGCAGAAGCACGCUGAAGCAGGCUGCAGAGUGCUCUUGUCCACCAGACCGUAAACAGUGUCCCGCAGUCUGACUUUUUUUCAGGAUGUGGCAGUAGUAGCUUUUCCAUAGUUAGUAGCCAGAUGGAUUUUCUGCCAAUAGAGUACUUCAUUCUGCCAAAUAUGUCUGUGUAAGAAGUACAUAAAAAGCCUCUUUAGAAACUGAGGUGGAGUAGAAAGAAUAAAAAGAGAUAGAACUUGUGGCCCAGGCAUAUGCAUCUGA